CUGAAACUAGAUUGUUACACUUUGCCUCCUUCCUUAGAAAUAUUAAUAUUCAGCAACAACAUGCUUGAACAGAAUAGGAACUUUCUGCACUUCCCCUUGUCUCACUCAAUAACUUUCCAUACACCAAGUUCCUAUUAAACCUUAUUGACCCCUAACAUGUACAUUUCUUAUACAUGUUAGGUAAUCAGUACAUUAUAAUAUGAUGACAGGAAUAAGUGUAUUUCGAGCCAGAAUCCAACAGGUAGAAAAGUUCAUGUUUCUCUGUCUUUCAACUUCAUAAUUGCAUUGAUGUCAUUGGAGUCAUGUUUGUAACUUGCCCUGCGUUUGACAGCCACACUUCAGGAUGGUCAGACAAGGCAAACAGGAAAGACGGGGAAAACAGGGGAAAAUGGGGCAGACAGUGCCCAAUGACAAAAUGACCUCAAACACAUUAUUAAUCAAGCAUUGAAACUGAUUUGUGAAAGAAAAUGAAUUAGUCAUACACAUCAGACCAUGUUUAUAAUCAAAUGUAGGCAUGACCUAUGUUAUUCAUUGAUUUAAUGUAAAACAUUUAACUAAACUGAGAAAUGACAUGACCAUAAACAGCAGAGUAUCUUGUGAGUCACAACUCUGCAUGCCUUGUAUAAUGUUACAACAGCAUGACAACAAAUGCUUUAGAAAUGAGUUGAUUGCUUUGUACUCUCUUUGUUUGUGCCUCUAUAGUAGCUCUAUAACCAAGAGUCAUGUAAUAUAUCUGAAUCUACAGUCCGUCUAAUCACCCCUUUUCAUUCAGACGGUAACAAGAGGAGGCAUCAGAUUCUGAGAAAUUGUUGAGGACAAGGCAGCCUUGACAGCUGACAUUGUUCAACUUCACAAGCAGCAGGCAGAGUUUAGGCUCCCCACAGUGGCUGCUCAAUAGUGUGGCCAUGGGAGAGACUUGGCACCAGCAAUCUUGGGCAGACUGAUGUUGGUGGACAGACUGCAGGAGGAAGAGAGGAUCCUGGUGCAGGAGAUGAAGAAGCACUGGGGGUGCCUACAAAGAGCAGCAGGAACUCUAGAGGCACUGUCCCUACAGCUGCAAUAUCAGAGCAAUGCAGUGGAGAUGUUGGAGGGAGGGAGGAAUGGCCUUCUCUGCCUCCUGAAGAGAAGAUUGAGUGAACUGACACAAAACACCAGGAACACCUACCACAAGCUGAUUCUGGGAGAAAGGGCUAUUUUUGAUGACUCUGAUGUAGAUUAAUACUCAGAUAUAAGUCUUAUUCCUAAAAGUCCUAUUGCUGAGAGCUCAGAUGACAACUGCUAUGUUUUCUGAAAUCAUACACCACCUCUACCUCUGUCUCUCUGUCUCGCUCUCUCCCGCAGGAGAGGGAGAAAGCAGCCACCACCUCCCUCGGGAGCAGCCUGGUCUUCCGACAUUGACCCCUGAUCCCUCAC